CCCAUCCUAGUACUACUCUCGCCCAAGCACGCUUAACUGCGGAGUUCUGAUGGGAUCCGGUGCAUUAGUGCUGGUAUGAUCGCACCC
rnacentral:rRNA from 1 species